UAAUGGUACACAAAGCAACCUUUAGC
rnacentral:piRNA from 2 species